CCAUUCCGGUUGAUCCUGCCGGAGGCCAUUGCUAUCGGGGUCCGAUUUAGCCAUGCUAGUUGUACGAGCUUACACUCGUAGCAAAUAGCUCCGUAACACGUGGCCAAACUACCCUACAGAGAACCAUAACCUCGGGAAACUGAGGCUAAUAGUUCAUACCCGUCCCCUGUUGGAAUACGGGGACGCGCAAACGUUCCGACGCUGUAGGACGUGGCUGCGGCCGAUUAGGUAGACGGUGGGGUAACGGCCCACCGUGCCGAUAAUCGGUACGGGUUGUGAGAGCAAGAACCCGGAGACGGAAUCUGAGACAAGAUUCCGGGCCCUACGGGGCGCAGCAGGCGCGAAACCUUUACACUGCACGCAAGUGCGAUAAGGGGACCCCGAGUGCGAGGGCAUACAGUCCUCGCUUUUCACUACCGUAAGGUGGUAGUGGAAUAAGAGCUGGGCAAGACCGGUGCCAGCCGCCGCGGUAAUACCGGCAGCUCGAGUGAUGGCCGAUCUUAUUGGGCCUAAAGCGUCCGUAGCCGGCCACACAAGUCCAUCGGGAAAUCCGCCAGCCAACUGGCGGGCGUCCGGUGGAAACUGUGUGGCUCGGGAUCGGAAGACCCAACGGGUACGUCUUGGGUAGGAGUGAAAUCCCGUAAUCCUGGACGGACCACCGAUAGCGAAAGCACGUUGGGAAGACGAAUCCGACGGUGAGGGACGAAAGCCAGGGUCUCGAACCGGAUUAGAUACCCGGGUAGUCCUGGCCGUAAACGAUGUCUGCUAGGUGUGGCUCCCACUACGAGUGGGUGCUGUGCCGUAGGGAAGCCGCUAAGCAGACCGCCUGGGAAGUACGUCCGCAAGGAUGAAACUUAAAGGAAUUGGCGGGGGAGCACUACAACCGGAGGAGCCUGCGGUUUAAUUGGACUCAACGCCGGACAUCUCACCAGCAUCGACAACAGUAAUGACGGUCAGGUUGAUGACCUUGCCAGAGCCGUUGAGAGGAGGUGCAUGGCCGCCGUCAGCUCGUACCGUGAGGCGUCCUGUUAAGUCAGGCAACGAGCGAGACCCGCACUCCUAAUUGCCAGCACCGGCUUCGGCCGGGUGGGUACAUUAGGAGGACUGCCGUGGCUAACACGGAGGAAGGAACGGGCAACGGUAGGUCAGUAUGCCCCGAAUGUGCUGGGCUACACGCGGGCUACAAUGGCCGAGACAAUGGGUUCCCACCUCGAAAGAGAGCGGUAAUCUCCUAAACUCGGUCGUAGUUCGGAUUGAGGGCUGAAACCCGCCCUCAUGAAGCUGGAUUCGGUAGUAAUCGCGUGUCAGCAGCGCGCGGUGAAUACGUCCCUGCUCCUUGCACACACCGCCCGUCAAAGCACCCGAGUGGGGUCCGGAUGAGGCACGGUCACCCGUGUCGAAUCUGGGCUCCGCAAGGGGGCUUAAGUCGUAACAAGGUAGCCGUAGGGGAAUCUGCGGCUGGAUCACCUCCUACUG
rnacentral:rRNA from 1 species